GAUCCGAGGUCAAACUAAUUUGGAAGGAUUGCAUCGCGCUACGUACAUACAAUGACUUUUGAUCCGCGACUGCUGCGCUUAGGUACCCUUUCCAGCCAAAAGGGCACAAAGGCCACGAAACGGUUUUGCGUGACCGACGUAAAAUACCAAGUGAUACGGUACUGGUCCUUUGCUCUACUGCGUGGGAGACGGUGGUGCUACUGUCCCUACGAGGGAUCUACUGGAUCAGCAGAAAGUGUCCUUUUGACUUCAGAGAAAAUUUGGCUGAUCCCGACCUGGUGGCUGUUCUCAGGAGAUGAUCCACUCCUCCAGCCACGAACAGAGGUUAAUGCACCGCAUACAGAUUUAAACGUGUUAAAAGGGCUUCGCUGAAAGGAGUAGAAACUUGUUUCAAGAAAAAAUACGGUCUCGAUUCAAAGUCCACUGAAGUCAAUGGUGCCUGACAUCCGAUCAGUGGAUUUUGGAUGGGGUCUGAAGCCACCUCCCCCUUGUCUGUUUUGGUACCACAUCUUUAAUCCUUUCUAUUAAAACCCAUUGUCAAGUCUU